ensembl:misc_RNA Y_RNA Y RNA
GGCUGGUCUAAGUGCAGUUGUGUUUACAACUAAUUGAUGACAACCAGUUAUAGAUUCCUUUGUUCCUUCACCACUCCCACUACUCUACAUGGCUAGUAAAA